rnacentral:rRNA from 1 species
GAUGAACGCUGGCGGCGUGCCUAAUACAUGCAAGUUGUGCGGUAACAGAGAGAGCUUGCUCUCUGCUGACGAGCGGCGGACGGCAGAGUAACGCGUAGGAACAUACCCCAAACUGAGGGAUAACUGCUCGAAAGAGUAGCUAAUACCGCAUGUGGUCUUCGGAUUAAAAGCUUCGGCGGUUUGGGAGUGGCCUGCGUCCGAUUAGCUAGUUGGUGAGGUAAUUGCUCACCAAGGCGACGAUCGGUAGCUGGUCUGAGAGGAUGAUCAGCCUGACUGGAACUGAGAACGGUCCAGACUCCUACGGGAGGCAGCAGUAGGGAAUUUUCCACAAUGGGCGAAAGCCUGAUGGAGCAACGCCGCGUGCAGGAUGAAUGCCUUCGGGUUGUAAACUGCUUUUCUGUGUGAAGAAUAUGACGGUAACACAGGAAUAAGGGUCGGCUAACUACGUGCCAGCAGCCGCGGUAAU